GUGCUUGCUUGGACAGCACUUAAAGUGGAACAAUACAGAGAUUAGCAUGGCCCCGUGCAAGGAUGAAAUGCAAAUUCAUGAAGUGUUCUAUAUUUUU
rnacentral:snRNA from 1 species